CUGCACAAACGCUCUGCGGUCACACCCCGUCUCUCCUCGAAGCUUUUCUGCUGAUCCGUACGUUCGGUGCUAAAUUUAAUGUGCUAAACCCCUGCCGUGCGUGCAGGAAUUGUGUCAGCAGAAGAGGCCCCUCCUCCCCGGCGGUGCUGCCCUCAGCGUGUCUCCGUGCUCUCGGACAUUAACAAAUACCAGAUGGUAAACAGCUCAGCGCUGCCUUUAUCUGUAGGCCCACAGAGGUGAUACAGUGCAGGGAAUGCUUCAGCGGCUCUGAAACGAGGCCAGCAUCGGGCUGGAGGGCAGCAGCUGCUUUCUGCUGCGUGUUGUCACUGUGUGUGCUGCAGUCCUCUGCUUCUGACCAGAAAGGAGGGCAGCAGAGGUUUGGCUGAGUCAGAGGAGGUUCAUGGAGCGCUGUCUGCUGCCCAUCCUCAUGUGCGUGGCAGUGUCCUCCAGGUGUCGGCCCGGCUGCUGGGGGAGGACCCGGCCAUUGAGUCUCCCACACUGCAGUUUACCACAGGCUUCUCUCAUGAUAGUGCCUGGCCAUAUGUGAUUUACUUUGAUCUUGGCACAGAGUCCAAAGUGCUGGAAAGCAAUCACCCAAAUUCUGGUAAGUGCUGUGCUUCCCCUUCCCAAGAGGGUCGGGUUCCCAGCAGCACAAGGGCAGGAUCAAUUGGAAAAC
rnacentral:lncRNA from 1 species